rnacentral:rRNA from 1 species
GACGAACGCUGGCGGCGUGCUUAACACAUGCAAGUCGAACGGAAAGGCCUGCUUUCCCUUGUGGAUUGCGGGUACUCGAGUGGCGAACGGGUGAGUAACACGUGAGUGAUCUGCCCCCAACUUGGGUAUAAGCCUGGGAAACUGGGUCUAAUUCCCGAUAGGACUGCAGGGUGGUGCCUGUGGUGGAAAACGAUUUUCUAGUGGUUGGGGAUGAGCUGGCGGCCUAUCAGCUUGUUGGUGGGGUAAUGGCCUACCAAGACGGGGACGGGUAGCCGGCCUGAGAGGGUGGACGGCCGAAUUGGGACUGGGAUACGGCCCCGACGCCUACGGGAAGCAGCAGUGGGGAAUAUUGGACCAUGGGCGGAAGCCUGAUGCAGCGACGCCGCGUGGGGGGUGACGGCCUUCGGGUUGUAUACUCCUUUCGACCGCGAGGAAGCCACCUGGUUGGAAGGGUGGUGACGGUAGUGGUAGAAGAAGCACCGGCUAACUACGUG